UUAUGGCUCAGGAUGAACGCUAGCUACAGGCUUAACACAUGCAAGUCGAGGGGCAGCAUGAAGUUGCUGCAAACUUGAUGGCGACCGGCGCACGGGUGAGUAACGCGUAUCCAACCUUCCCCUUACUAGGGAAUAGCCCGGCGAAAGUCGGAUUAAUGCCCUAUGUUCUCCUUUGCGGGCAUCUAACGAGGAGCAAAGAUUCAUCGGUAAGGGAUGGGGAUGCGUCUGAUUAGCCAGUUGCGGGGUAACGGCCCACCAAGGCGACGAUCAGUAGGGGUUCUGAGAGGAAGGUCCCCCACAUUGGAACUGAGACACGGUCCAAACUCCUACGGGAGGCAGCAGUGAGGAAUAUUGGUCAAUGGACGGAAGUCUGAACCAGCCAAGUAGCGUGCAGGAUGACGGCCCUAUGGGUUGUAAACUGCUUUUAUAUAGGGAUAAAGUCGGGGACGUGUCCCCGUUUGUAGGUACUAUAUGAAUAAGGACCGGCUAAUUCCGUGCCAGCAGCUGC
rnacentral:rRNA from 1 species